GGUUAAGCGACUAAGCGUACACGGUGGAUGCCCUGGCAGUCAGAGGCGAUGAAGGACGUGCUAAUCUGCGAUAAGCGUCGGUAAGGUGAUAUGAACCGUUAUAACCGGCGAUUUCCGAAUGGGGAAACCCAGUGUGAUUCGUCACACUAUCAUUAACUGAAUCCAUAGGUUAAUGAGGCGAACCGGGGGAACUGAAACAUCUAAGUACCCCGAGGAAAAGAAAUCAACCGAGAUUCCCCCAGUAGCGGCGAGCGAACGGGGAGCAGCCCAGAGCCUGAAUCAGUGUGUGUGUUAGUGGAAGCGUCUGGAAAGGCGCGCGAUACAGGGUGACAGCCCCGUACACAAAAAUGCACAUGCUGUGAGCUCGAUGAGUAGGGCGGGACACGUGGUAUCCUGUCUGAAUAUGGGGGGACCAUCCUCCAAGGCUAAAUACUCCUGACUGACCGAUAGUGAACCAGUACCGUGAGGGAAAGGCGAAAAGAACCCCGGCGAGGGGAGUGAAAAAGAACCUGAAACCGUGUACGUACAAGCAGUGGGAGCCUCUUUAUGGGGUGACUGCGUACCUUUUGUAUAAUGGGUCAGCGACUUAUAUUCUGUAGCAAGGUUAACCGAAUAGGGGAGCCGAAGGGAAACCGAGUCUUAACUGGGCGUUAAGUUGCAGGGUAUAGACCCGAAACCCGGUGAUCUAGCCAUGGGCAGGUUGAAGGUUGGGUAACACUAACUGGAGGACCGAACCGACUAAUGUUGAAAAAUUAGCGGAUGACUUGUGGCUGGGGGUGAAAGGCCAAUCAAACCGGGAGAUAGCUGGUUCUCCCCGAAAGCUAUUUAGGUAGCGCCUCGUGAAUUCAUCUCCGGGGGUAGAGCACUGUUUCGGCAAGGGGGUCAUCCCGACUUACCAACCCGAUGCAAACUGCGAAUACCGGAGAAUGUUAUCACGGGAGACACACGGCGGGUGCUAACGUCCGUCGUGAAGAGGGAAACAACCCAGACCGCCAGCUAAGGUCCCAAAGUCAUGGUUAAGUGGGAAACGAUGUGGGAAGGCCCAGACAGCCAGGAUGUUGGCUUAGAAGCAGCCAUCAUUUAAAGAAAGCGUAAUAGCUCACUGGUCGAGUCGGCCUGCGCGGAAGAUGUAACGGGGCUAAACCAUGCACCGAAGCUGCGGCAGCGACACUAUGUGUUGUUGGGUAGGGGAGCGUUCUGUAAGCCUGCGAAGGUGUACUGUGAGGUAUGCUGGAGGUAUCAGAAGUGCGAAUGCUGACAUAAGUAACGAUAAAGCGGGUGAAAAGCCCGCUCGCCGGAAGACCAAGGGUUCCUGUCCAACGUUAAUCGGGGCAGGGUGAGUCGACCCCUAAGGCGAGGCCGAAAGGCGUAGUCGAUGGGAAACAGGUUAAUAUUCCUGUACUUGGUGUUACUGCGAAGGGGGGACGGAGAAGGCUAUGUUGGCCGGGCGACGGUUGUCCCGGUUUAAGCGUGUAGGCUGGUUUUCCAGGCAAAUCCGGAAAAUCAAGGCUGAGGCGUGAUGACGAGGCACUACGGUGCUGAAGCAACAAAUGCCCUGCUUCCAGGAAAAGCCUCUAAGCAUCAGGUAACAUCAAAUCGUACCCCAAACCGACACAGGUGGUCAGGUAGAGAAUACCAAGGCGCUUGAGAGAACUCGGGUGAAGGAACUAGGCAAAAUGGUGCCGUAACUUCGGGAGAAGGCACGCUGAUAUGUAGGUGAAGCGACUUGCUCGUGGAGCUGAAAUCAGUCGAAGAUACCAGCUGGCUGCAACUGUUUAUUAAAAACACAGCACUGUGCAAACACGAAAGUGGACGUAUACGGUGUGACGCCUGCCCGGUGCCGGAAGGUUAAUUGAUGGGGUUAGCGGUAACGCGAAGCUCUUGAUCGAAGCCCCGGUAAACGGCGGCCGUAACUAUAACGGUCCUAAGGUAGCGAAAUUCCUUGUCGGGUAAGUUCCGACCUGCACGAAUGGCGUAAUGAUGGCCAGGCUGUCUCCACCCGAGACUCAGUAAAAUUGAACUCGCUGUGAAGAUGCAGUGUACCCGCGGCAAGACGGAAAGACCCCGUGAACCUUUACUAUAGCUUGACACUGAACAUUGAGCCUUGAUGUGUAGGAUAGGUGGGAGGCUUUGAAGUGUGGACGCCAGUCUGCAUGGAGCCGACCUUGAAAUACCACCCUUUAAUGUUUGAUGUUCUAACGUUGGCCCCUGAUCGGGGUUGCGGACAGUGUCUGGUGGGUAGUUUGACUGGGGCGGUCUCCUCCUAAAGAGUAACGGAGGAGCACGAAGGUUGGCUAAUCCUGGUCGGACAUCAGGAGGUUAGUGCAAUGGCAUAAGCCAGCUUGACUGCGAGCGUGACGGCGCGAGCAGGUGCGAAAGCAGGUCAUAGUGAUCCGGUGGUUCUGAAUGGAAGGGCCAUCGCUCAACGGAUAAAAGGUACUCCGGGGAUAACAGGCUGAUACCGCCCAAGAGUUCAUAUCGACGGCGGUGUUUGGCACCUCGAUGUCGGCUCAUCACAUCCUGGGGCUGAAGUAGGUCCCAAGGGUAUGGCUGUUCGCCAUUUAAAGUGGUACGCGAGCUGGGUUUAGAACGUCGUGAGACAGUUCGGUCCCUAUCUGCCGUGGGCGCUGGAGAACUGAGGGGGGCUGCUCCUAGUACGAGAGGACCGGAGUGGACGCAUCACUGGUGUUCGGGUUGUCAUGCCAAUGGCACUGCCCGGUAGCUAAAUGCGGAAGAGAUAAGUGCUGAAAGCAUCUAAGCACGAAACUUGCCCCGAGAUGAGUUCUCCCUGACUCCUUGAGAGUCCUGAAGGAACGUUGAAGACGACGACGUUGAUAGGCCGGGUGUGUAAGCGCAGCGAUGCGUUGAGCUAACCGGUACUAAUGAACCGUGAGGCUUAACCUU
rnacentral:rRNA from 1 species